UACGUAGGAGGCGAGCGUUGUUCGGAAUUACUGGGCGUAAAGCGCACGUAGGCGGCUUUGUAAGUUAGAGGUGAAAGCCCGGGGCUCAACCCCGGAAUUGCCUUUAAGACUGCAUCGCUUGAAUCCGGGAGAGGUGAGUGGAAUUCCGAGUGUAGAGGUGAAAUUCGUAGAUAUUCGGAAGAACACCAGUGGCGAAGGCGGCUCACUGGACCGGUAUUGACGCUGAGGUGCGAAAGCGUGGGGAGCAAACAGG
rnacentral:rRNA from 1 species